rnacentral:lncRNA from 1 species
AAAUCAAGAAAUCACUAACAAAAGUUUAGUGACAAAAGAUCUUGGGCACAUCUCUUUUGUAUUAGACAUUUUGAUACUUAGAGAUUAUUCUCAAUGUAUUAUUUGGGUAUAACAAAAGAGUCGUAUCAAUAAAGUUGAAAUUAAAUUCGACAUGAAAGUCAAUAAACUAAGGAAUUGCCUUAAUUAUAAAGGGAGACUAUCUNNNNNNNNNNNNNNNNNNNNNNNNNNNNNNNAAUUUAGAAAAUAAAGUAUUUUCCUAUAUGCUUCAGCUUUGAGAAACUUAUGUAUGAUCUUAUUUAUAUGCAUCCGGAAAUAGCUUAUAUAAUAAGAUCAUUUGGCAGAUACUUGAACAAUUCAUAAUUUGAAUUUGUUGAAAACAGGCAACCAUAAGGAUUGUUAUAGAGAACAAUAAUUUGUGCUCACAUAUCGGAGAUCUAACAAUUUGAAGAUCAUUAGGAUGUUCGACUCCGAUCCUUUUAGAAUGUCUAUAUUUAAUGGACAUUCUAACUCAAGAAAUGACUAUUGGUAUUUAUGUCACUUGGUUGCAUAAAGUAAAAAGUUUUGAAAGACAAAUUAAGUUAUAUUGUGACAUAAAUUAGUCGGACAAUAUUGUUGUUGGAUG